AACGAACGCUGGCGGCAUGCCUAACACAUGCCAGUCGAACGAGACCUUCGGGUCUUGUGGCGCAUGGGUGCGUACCACGUGGGAACCUGCCCUUAGGUUCGGAACAACUCCCCGAAAGGGGUGCUAAUACCGGAUAAUGUCUUCGGACCAAAGAUUUAUCGCGUUUGGAUGGGCCCGCGUUGGAUUGGCGAGUUGGUAGUGUAAUAGCAUGCCAAGGCGACGAUGCAUAGCUGGUCUGAGAGGAUGAUAAGCUACACUGGGGAUGAGACACGGCCCAGACUGGGACGGGAGGGAGGAGAGUGGUAUAUUGGAGGAUGAGGGAAGGUGUAGUCCAGCAGUGCGGGGGAUGAGAGGAAUGCCUUAGGGUUGUGAUGCUGUUUUACCCGGGGUGAUAGUGACGGUACCGGGUGAAUAAGCACCGGCUAACUACGUG
rnacentral:rRNA from 1 species